rnacentral:rRNA from 1 species
CCUACGGGAGGCAGCAGUGAGGAAUAUUGGACAAUGGGUGAGAGCCUGAUCCAGCCAUCCCGCGUGCAGGAAGACGGCCUUAUGGGUUGUAAACUGCUUUUAUACAGGAAUAAACCAUCUUACGUGUAGGGUGUUGAAGGUACUGUAUGAAUAAGCACCGGCUAACUCCGUGCCAGCAGCCGCGGUAAU